ACUUGUGAGAAAAACAUUUUGAUGGUCUCUUCACCAAGGAAGGCUAAAGAGUGAUGUUUUAUUUUACCUGUGUUGAAGACCGUGCUUCUAUGAGUAGAGACAAUACCUACAUAUCUGGCUGAAAGAUUGGGAUGGAAAAGGAGAUUGACUGGAAAGAUAAGAUUUAGGAACAAAAAGUCAAGCCUGGUAGAUGACAUAGAUACUAGCUUCUUACUGCGUAAACCAAUUGUGAAGAUGCAUUUCUUAACUUAUUAAGUACUCAGAUAACAUGGAGACGAGCAUCACAAGAAAGUCCAUCAAAGUGUUAAGUUUUUGCCUCUAAAGUUCUGCCUUAAUUUAAUUAAUUAAUUAAAGUUCUGCAUUAAUUUAAUUAAUGAUUCCAGGACAGAAGGUUUCAGGACAUCUGCACACUAAGCAGUGGAGAUUAAACCAUUGCUUUCUAUUAGGGAAGAUUUAGAUUGGAUAUAAGAAAGAAUUUUUUUAUAAUAAGGGUGGUGAGGCACUGGAACAGGUUGCCCAGAGUGGUGGUGGAUGCUCCAUCCCUGGAGACAUCCAACAUCAGGCUGGAUGGGGCCCUGAGCAACUCGGUCUAGUUGUAAUGUCCCCAUUCAUUGCAGGGGAGUUAGGCCAAAUGGCCUUGAAGUGUCCCCACCAACUCAAACAAUUCUAUGAUUCUAUGAACCUAGCUGUUCUCUAGGAGAGCACAGUCCGAACAGCUACUGAGGGCUUACCACCCUGAACUAAGGCACGAUGGUUAGGAGACAUCAGAAGUUCUUUUGCUGCUGAAGAUUUACCAUUACCUACAGCUAUGAGUAGGAGCCAGUUUGGGCCCAUGUUUGCGUAGAACUUGUUGAGACACAAGAAAGUACCUUCUUUGUGGUUCCCAUUUAAAAGCAGAAGUGUAAAACAAGCCAAGAGCUCUAAAAACCCAUUUGUUCAGGAGAGUAGCCCAGUGCAAUGAUCAGAGAAGGGCUGCCUUCUGCAGGCACUACUAAAAACCCAGCUAUAGUGAGACUGCUGCCAAGCAUGGGCAUAGCCUGAGUGAGGUCUUGAAACAUUUAGAAGGGGCUUUUGCAAGGUGGACAGUCUGAAGAAAACAUCUCCAUUACUCAGAAGACCACCUGUUUGCAGGAGUUACUGGGAAUCUGGGUACAGAGUCACCCAUGGCCCAUUUGUCCUCUCACCAUUAGUUUGGUGCUGAGGUUCAGCCCUGAGCCACAUAGGUGAUAACAUAACCAAAGGAGAAAGGAAAAACCUCUUUCUUAUAGAGAUGUAUGUUAGUUUCCAGUUCUGAUUAAAUAUAUCCCAGCUGCUAGGAACAGCUGUGAAAGAUUCUUCUCCUUUGCUUUUUUUUCAAGUGUGAUGUAUUCCUCCUCUUCACCAUUGCCUGGUGACGGGGGGGGGGGGAAGAAGAGCCUCAGAUAAAAGCCUUGCUCCAGGGCAAGCAAAGAUCCCAACUGCAGUUUUGCAUAAAUCUGUCACUUGGAUUCUCUGGAGAACAACUGCAAACUUGAAAAAUAGCGUAGUGCAGCAGGCACAGGUGUGGACUCCUCUCUCUCUGUAUAUAUAUAUAUUUCAAAUAAAAGUAGCUGUGAACAACCCCCAGAACAUGACUUGCUUUCACCCAGCUUUCAGCUUUGUUAGUUCUUCUAAAACUAUCCCUGCGUUGAUAAACAUGUUAUUAGUAAACCAGAAAUGAAACGAUAAUGAGAAAAUUGUCCUGUAAAAGAAAAUUGUCCACCAUAAAAUCCACAACGACCAUCCUGCAGUGCUUCUGCUGCUUUCUACUCCCUCUAGGACAAUCUGUGAGGGAGCUUUUGCUCUCUGUUACUUUUAAAUGCAAAUACAUCCAAGAUUUGCUGGGUUUGGCUUGGGGCUGGAAGGGCGGCUUGUGAGGAAGCUCAGUAAUAUCUUUCACCCCAGGGUCAGCUUUGCAUCCCACAGUAAAUUUGGCUGCUUCACUUGAAACAAAGACACAGUGUUGUUCCAUAGACUUUUCUCCUCCAUCCAUGCACUUUCAUCCCCAAGUGCCUUGGCUCCAAGUGGCUGGAGUACAGGGGGCCAGCAGAGGUGGCUGCGUGGGCUGAGCUCAUCCAAGGCUCCCGACAGGCUCCUCUGGCCCCCCAUGCCCUACCUUUGUCCCUAAAUCUUUCAUGUUCUCAUCAAGCAGGAGGGUGUUUGGUGUUUGGUUACUGUCUCCAUUGUAAGGGAGGAAAUUGCUUUUGCAACUGCGGUCCCAGAGGCUGUACUUUUCUUUUGCAAUUAAACCCUUAUCAGACCUCACGCUGCAGUGAUAACGUUGACUGAAUAGGUGUUUGCUGACAGACAUUGACCUGCAGCCUAAAUAAUGUAAGGAAAAUGCUUUUGAGUUUUUUGGCUUUUUUAAAGUCCUUGCCUAGUUCAUGGCUGAAGCCGUAUUUGCAGUAAAUAAAGUGAAAUUAUUUAGGACUGUAUUGGGUACUACUAGCAUCUGUGUCAAAGCCACUCUCUAGGCAUGAUGGGGUGACUUUGUUGUGGGAGCACGAUCUGACAGGGCUGAAUACCAUUUUUUCACCCCAGCACUUAUGGUGAAGAGCCAGAGCACCCUGCUUGCUCUGGCAGCGGGAGAGCUAUAAUCCUACUCAGUCUGAGGAAAUGGUCCAUCCACCUAAAGGGCAGUUUUGCAUUUCAGUGCUGUUGUGUUGAAAGCCGAAUUAAUAACAAGGUUUGGCCAAGCUCUGCAAAAGUUGAAACCUGGCUUCUGGCUCAGUUUCUGUCUGACAAAGAGCAAGAUUUUUAUGUUCCUUUCAGCAGCGUUGCUUCGCAUUGCAGCACGCAAGCUGUGGGUGGCUUCUCUUCAGAUUGAGAAUACCGGUGGGUCUCGUGAGUCAUGGUGGGAGGGUGACAUGGGGUUGGAUUUUAAAAGGUGAAGAGUCAACGUUUGUGAAGCUUCUACAGCCUAUGCAAUUAAUUUGUAACAACAGAGCUAGCAUAAAUCCUACCACUGCUGCGCACAGCAGCACCUGGUGAUGUGGCUGUACGGCUGGGAGAAGUGCCAGAAAAAUAGAGGAAAGAAAUGUCACUUGUAUCUUCGUGAAGGGGAAGAAGGUGUACUUAGGGAACUGCAGGCCUGUCAGCCUCACUAUGAUCCCUGGGAUGGUGAUGGAAAGCCUAAUUCUGGAAAACAUUUCUAAGCACAUGAAGGAGAAGAAAACCUCCAGGAGUAGUCAGCAUGGCAAGUCGCACCUGUCCGAACAGAUAAGCUUCUAUAAGGAAUUCACCAGCCUGAUGGAUGAAGGAGGAGCAGAGGACAUUGUCUUCCCAGUCUUCCUUAAGGCCUUUGACACCGAUCCCCAUAAGGUCCUAGGGCUGAGGAGUCAUGAUGGACAUCAAGAUGAACUUGAGGCAGCAAUGUGCUGUUGAUACUAAGAAGGCUCAUGGUAUUCUUGGCUGAAUUAAGGCAGUUGGCAAAGUGAUGAGUCCUAUAUGGACUGGCAGAUGCAGAGCAUUUUAUGAAGGAUGAAAAAAAUGCAAAGAAAGACAGUAAAACAUAGCUGACUCAGCAAGCUGGGAGUUGGAUUUGUGACACUGGGGUGUAAUUCCUUUCUCUGCCACUGACUUCCUGUAGCACUUUCGAUGGGGUACCAGAGGAUAAAUAAGUAAACGUAUGACUUUUUCUCAUUAUAUCCCAGAUUCCCAUUUGUAAUAUAGAGAUAACAUCAUUUUAUUUGAACACAGUGGUGUAUUAAAGCAGAGAUCCUGGGGUUUCACAGUAACAGAGUCAUAGAGACUAUAUGAAAAAAGCUCGUCUGGUUUUCUGUAGGAAAGACUACUAACAAAGAAUUUAUAACUAUCAAAUCAAGGAAAAGAAAUGCAGCAGUGAAAGGUUCAGAAUUGCUAACUGUGUGUUGAAAGGUUCAGGAAAAUGCCUGGAGUUGUGAGUAGGUGCCAGAGAAUUUAAUUAUGAUAAUAAAACUUCUAGGAAGACGUAAAAAUGCUGGAAUGAUCAAAUCAUGUUUAAUUACGAGGAACAUUUUUUGUCUUGGUAACACAGCACUGUAAGGAAUACAUGUGUUGCCUCCAGAAAUGUUAGGGGCCAGGAUGUCAUUCUUUCAGAAACAAAGCAGACAAGAACUUAAAAAAAAAGAAAAGUCAAAGAAAAGCUAAACCAAACAAAUGCCUCACAGGUCAUGGUAGAGCACCCAGAGCUUUGUAAAGAAGGCCAGGGGAAACUCCCUGAGAAGACACACUCUGCUCAGAGCAUGGAUUGAAGUCAGGUACCCCUUCUCCCCCUUGAGAAAGGAGCCAACAGAAGAAUCAAGAGAAAUGAAAGAGUAAAAGAGGUGGCUGCAAGUGAUACAAUGAGUACCAUAGAGACGACUGCAAAGCUGCUUGGAGUCCUGCUCAACACUCUAUCAAAACCUGUGCAACUCUGUCCACUCUGGGGGAGCUUAGCAAAUGGAAAUGACCACGUGUUUUUAACCAAUAAUCUACAAUAAUCACCAAUAAUCUACACAAAUAAAACUAUUAUUAUUAUUAUUAUUAUUAUUAUUAUUAUUAUUAUUAUUACAAAAAGGGAAACAAGCAAGUGAAGAAGGGGGAAAAAUAAAAUGUAUAAAGCGAGCUUCCACUUAGAGGUUUCAACCUAUGGGUUACAACCUAUGGCUUAAAGAGUUUUUAAUGGGUUGUUUCUUUGUCCUCACAGAACUCAGCGUGUCUAGAAACACAUUUUUUUGCAGCAGGCUUUCUAUAACAUCAGCUUGUUCUCGUGUCUGUGGCUGGUUUAUUGCAGCAAUUAUAAUAAUUGAUCAACUUGUAAACCUGAUUAUAAAGUCUGCUCCCUCAUCUGUUUUCUUCCUUGACUGGCUCUUGCUUUGAAGGCGGCAAGGAUUUACAGUGGGGGCUGUCUGCAGCACCGAUCCCCUCCCUGGCCUUCCAUUAAUGUUGCCUGGUUCAGGAAGAACAGUGUAGCUCCCAGGGAGUGGCUGAGGAAGUCUGGUUACAGAGCCUCCAGCCAUUAACCC
rnacentral:lncRNA from 1 species